AACGAACGCUGGCGGCAGGCCUAACACAUGCAAGUCGAGCGAAGCCUUCGGGCUUAGCGGCGGACGGGUGAGUAACGCGUGGGAACGUGCCCUUUGGUACGGAAUAGCCCCGGGAGACUGGGAGUAAUACCGUAUGUGGUCGAGAGACGAAAGAUUUAUCGCCAAAGGAUCGGCCCGCGUUGGAUUAGGUAGUUGGUGGGGUAAUGGCGUACCAAGCCGACGAUCCGUAGCUGGGUUGAGAGGAUGAUCAGCCACACUGGGACUGAGACACGGCCGAGACUUCUACGGGAGGCAGCAGUGGGGAAUCUUAGACAAUGGGGGAAACCCUGAUCUAGCCAUGCCGCGUGAUCGAUGAAGGCCUUAGGGUUGUAAAGAUCUUUCAGUGGGGGAGAUAAUGACUGUACCCACAGAAGAAGCCCCGGCUAACUCCGUGCCAGCCGCCGCAGUAAGAC
rnacentral:rRNA from 1 species